rnacentral:misc_RNA from 1 species
ACAAACAUAGCGAGACACCAGGCAAGCAAAUUGAGAGCUUUUGCACCACUGUAUCGAGAGCUAAAAUUUACAUGAAAAUAUACUUCACAAAAUCUAGUGAGUCAGCGGUUUCUGCUACAGAUCCAUACCCAGCCAAAAGCAAAUGGAAGGUUAUUUCCAGUUCCCAAAGGUACUGUUGCAAUUGGAGGUGGCUGAGAUAGUUUGAGAUCA